rnacentral:rRNA from 1 species
ACGGGAGGCAGCAGUGGGGAAUAUUGCACAAUGGGGGAAACCCUGAUGCAGCGAUGCCGCGUGGAGGAAGAAGGUUUUCGGAUUGUAAACUCCUGUCUUAAGGGACGAUAAUGACGGUACCUUAGGAGGAAGCUCCGGCUAACUACGUGCCAGCAGCCGCGGUAAUACGUAGGUGGCAAGCGUUGUCCGGAUUUACUGGGUGUAAAGGGUGCGCAGGCGGGACUGCAAGUUGGAUGUGAAAUACCGAGGCUCAACCUCGGAGCUGCAUCCAAAACUGUAGUUCUUGAGUGGAGUAGAGGUAAGCGGAAUUCCGAGUGUAGCGGUGAAAUGCGUAGAUAUUCGGAGGAACACCAGUGGCGAAGGCGGCUUACUGGGCUCUAACUGACGCUGAGGCACGAAAGUGUGGGUAGCAAACAGGAUUAGAUACCCUGGUA